AAUCCUCGGAAAUGUGUAAUGCUUACAAAUGAACAACAUUCGUAAAAAUGUUGGCUGCAGCCUAAGUUUGCGUGUGUAGUGUACUUGCUGUAAUUUCAAUGUUUGAUCAUAUUAACUUCCAGGUAAAGAUUAUGAGGUGAUGGUGUUUGGAUCUAUCUGUAAACUCGUAAGGGAGCAUUAUUGGCAUGCACUGUUUGUAGGUGGUGGUAAUGAUUGUCAUUACUCCUGAGGCCUACUCCAUUAUUACUUAUGUGCU
rnacentral:misc_RNA from 1 species